CCCACUUGUUGCAUAGAGAACGCGCAUGCCCGGCAUGCAGCCCAGAUUCCUCUCAGCCUUUUCCCCUCCUCCCCCUUUUCCCCGCCCUCCCCGGACUCUUGUGUGUAUAACAGCUGAAGCAAUGCAAGUUAAUGCUGGAAAUCAAGUGAAGAAAUACCCAGGGCUAUGUUUGGAAAUUAAACAGAAGAUGAUCUUUCUCUCCCCUCCCUUCCCCAGCCGAUGCCCGGCUUUCCAAUGUGAAAAUGCAUUCAGGAAACAUGCAUCAUUCCCCCCCGCCUCAGUGGCCCAGCAGAUGCUGAGUCGUGAAACCAGGGAGCUGUGUCACCUGGGCUUUUUGUAUAGUUGAAGGGUGCUGGAGAGGCCAAACAGGGCUGGGGUUACGCAAGAGCCACUCGAGCGUGAAAUCCCAGCACUAACACGGGCUCGCAGCAGGACCUGCGAUCUGAAAAUCAGGAAGAGAGGAGCCUGUGCCUCCGAAAUCUGCCAAGCCAGGCUGCGUGCUAGCGGAGCGGGGGCUCUCGGGGGGUAAAGUCGGCUGGAAGGAGAAAAUGAAAUCUUGAUGGUGGCGCUGGCCGUGCAGCUGCAAGAGAAGAUCAAAUCUCUGACUACAUUCUUCCGGGGGAGGGGGCCAAGUGAGGGAGGGGGAAAGAAAGGGGUGUCGUGUCUGGUUCCUGCCUCUCGGUCCUCCCUUCCCAGCUUCCUCCCCUUGCCACUUUGCCAGGGCAUCAGGGGAAACCAGAGUUGUCCUCAGCAAAAGCUGGUGUGUUUACUUAGAUCUGGAAAUAAAGAAAUCCUGGAAUGAG